rnacentral:rRNA from 1 species
UGGGGAAUAUUGGACAAUGGGGGGAACCCUGAUCCAGCCAUGCCGCGUGUGUGAAGAAGGCCUUAUGGUUGUAAAGCACUUUAAGCGAGGAGGAGGGUACUGGUAUUAAUACUACCAGCUACUGGACGUUACUCGCAGAAUAAGCACCGGCUAACUCUGUGCCAGCAGCCGCGGUAAUACAGAGGGUGCGAGCGUUAAUCGGAUUUACUGGGCGUAAAGCGUGCGUAGGCGGCUAAUUGAGUCGGAUGUGAAAUCCCCGAGCUUAACUUGGGAAUUGCAUUCGAUACUUGUUAGCUAGAGUGUGGGAGAGGAUGGUAGAAUUCCAGGUGUAGCGGUGAAAUGCGUAGAGAUCUGGAGGAAUACCGAUGGCGAAGGCAGCCAUCUGGCCUAACACUGACGCUGAGGUACGAAAGCAUGGGGAGCAAACAGG